CUAUCGUUCGAUGCUAACAAACUUUUUGUUGCCAAAAAUGGAAGAACUGAACUUGGUUGACAUGUGGUUUCAACAAGAUGGCGCUACAUGCCACACAGCUCGCGAUUCUAUGGCCAUUUUGAGGGAAAACUUCGGAGAACAAUUCAUCUCAAGAAAUGGACCCGUAAGUUGGCCACCAAGAUCAUGCGAUUUAACGCCUUUAGACUAUUUUUUGUGGGGCUACGUCAAGUCUAAAGUCUACAGAAAUAAGCCAGCAACUAUUCCAGCUUUGGAAGACAACAUUUCCGAAGAAAUUCGGGCUAUUCCGGCCGAAAUGCUCGAAAAAGUUGCCCAAAAUUGGACUUUCCGAAUGGACCACCUAAGACGCAGCCGCGGUCAACAUUUAAAUGAAAUUAUCUUCAAAAAGUAAAUGUCAUGAACCAAUCUAACGUUUCAAAUAAAGAACCGAUGAGAUUUUGCAACUUUUAUGCGUUUUUUUUUUUAAAAAAGUUAUCAAGCUCUUAAAAAAUCACCCGAUAUAUUGGCAUAGAUAUUCAGCCCUAUUCUGCAUUUCUACUCGAAUCGAAAUUUUCUCCGAUUGGCAACUUUGGUAUUCUGCGUUUCGAUUCAACUUCGAAAAUUCCAAUUCUAUGUAUUCUGCAUUGCGAUCGUAAUUACGUUUUUGUACGUUGAAGUUUUGUUGGCGGAAAGCCGUUAUAUAUUCAUUUUCGUGCAUUUGGAUAAAAUAAUUUCCUCAAAUAUGUCAAAAGUAACAACGGCAGAGCAAUACGAAAAAUUGUGUGAUAUGAUGGCCACGAAAAGAGAUAUUGCGCACGGCUUCCAAAGCGACCGAAGGAAGAAGUACAGGAGUUUUGGGAGGAGGUUGCAAGGAAUUUAAAUGCACUUGGCCCACCAACAAAAGAUUCCAAUACAUGGAGAAAGGUCUGGAUUGACUGGAAAUGCUACAUGAAGCGAAAAUUAUCGCAUAACAAAAAAGAAAGGAUGAGCACCGGUGGAGGUCCUUGCCGUUUACAACGCAUAAGCCCACUUGAUGAAAAGGUGAUAGCUUUGACGGGUUUGGAAACGGAUGAUAUCCCUUCAACCAGUAGAGCUAGCAGCCAAAAUAGAGAGGCGAGGGCAGACAAGCAGAGCACUUCUUCAUUACUUAAGCAACAGAUACAAAUCAAAAAGAAUUUUAUGCAGAGAUGAAAAAAUUCAAUGAAGCUGCCUUUGGUAAAAUGGAAGAAGUUACUUCAUAUUUACGACACAUGAAUCGUUCUCUAGAAACUUUGGCGGAGACUGCAGUGAAGCAACCUGAAGAACAGAAGCGACACAAUAGAAUUAAGGAAGAGCUGGUGAAGGAAAAAGUAGAAAUAAAAAUGCAAAUGCUAAGAUUAGGUCCAAAUUAUAAGACGGAUUCAAAUUAGUCAUUUUUUAAUUGUUAGCCUUUUAUUUAUUUUACUAUUAUUCAUUUAUAUAACGAGCUGUGAAAUUAAAUAAAAGCAUUUACUUUUUUAAUAUAGGAGCUGUAAAAUGCACUGAAUGCAAUUGUUUUUAUUUAAUAGAGUAAUGUAGGGCAUAUUUUGAAUAAUGCAUUGCUCUCCUCCUCAAGUAAUAUCGCUGCCGCUACUGAUUCCAUGUUAGUGUUUAAAAAAAACGCGAUAUAAUUUCUUUAUUUUAAUAAACCAACAAUAAUUUGUGUA